AGUCGAACGGUGAAGGCGGAGCUUGCUCUGCUGGAUCAGUGGCGAACGGGUGAGUAACACGUGAGCAAUCUGCCCCUGACUCUGGGAUAAGCGCUGGAAACGGCGUCUAAUACUGGAUACGAGCUGCGAAGGCAUCUUCAGCAGCUGGAAAGAAUUUCGGUCAGGGAUGAGCUCGCGGCCUAUCAGCUUGUUGGUGAGGUAAUGGCUCACCAAGGCGUCGACGGGUAGCCGGCCUGAGAGGGUGACCGGCCACACUGGGACUGAGACACGGCCCAGACUCCUACGGGAGGCAGCAGUGGGGAAUAUUGCACAAUGGGCGAAAGCCUGAUGCAGCAACGCCGCGUGAGGGACGACGGCCUUCGGGUUGUAAACCUCUUUUAGCAGGGAAGAAGCGAAAGUGACGGUACCUGCAGAAAAAGCGCCGGCUAACUACGUGCCAGCAGCCGCGGUAAUACGUAGGGCGCAAGCGUUAUCCGGAAUUAUUGGGCGUAAAGAGCUCGUAGGCGGUUUGUCGCGUCUGCUGUGAAACCCCGAGGCUCAACCUCGGGCCUGCAGUGGGUACGGGCAGACUAGAGUGCGGUAGAGGAGAUUGGAAUUCCUGGUGUAGCGGUGGAAUGCGCAGAUAUCAGGAGGAACACCGAUGGCGAAGGCAGAUCUCUGGGCCGUAACUGACGCUGAGGAGCGAAAGGGUGGGGAGCAAACAGGCUUAGAUACCCUGGUAGUCCACCCCGUAAACGUUGGGAACUAGUUGUGGGGUCCAUUCCACGGAUUCCGUGACGCAGCUAACGCAUUAAGUUCCCCGCCUGGGGAGUACGGCCGCAAGGCUAAAACUCAAAGGAAUUGACGGGGACCCGCACAAGCGGCGGAGCAUGCGGAUUAAUUCGAUGCAACGCGAAGAACCUUACCAAGGCUUGACAUAUACGAGAACGGGCCAGAAAUGGUCAACUCUUUGGACACUCGUAAACAGGUGGUGCAUGGUUGUCGUCAGCUCGUGUCGUGAGAUGUUGGGUUAAGUCCCGCAACGAGCGCAACCCUCGUUCUAUGUUGCCAGCACGUCAUGGUGGGAACUCAUGGAAUACUGCCGGGGUCAACUCGGAGGAAGGUGAGGAUGACGUCAAAUCAUCAUGCCCCUUAUGUCUUGGGCUUCACG
rnacentral:rRNA from 1 species